GCAAGUCGAGGGGUAACAGGGGAGCUUGCUUCCGCUGACGACCGGCGCACGGGUGCGUAACGCGUAUAGAACUUACCUUUUACAGAGGGAUAGCCUUUAGAAAUGAAGAUUAAUACCUCAUAGUAUUGAGCCUUGGCAUCAAGGUUUAAUUAAAGAUUUAUCGGUAAAAGAUGGCUAUGCGUCCUAUUAGCUAGAUGGUAAGGUAACGGCUUACCAUGGCAACGAUAGGUAGGGGUCCUGAGAGGGAGAUC
rnacentral:rRNA from 1 species